UGCCUGGAUGGUUGGUUGUGUUGAAC
rnacentral:piRNA from 1 species